rfam:Astyanax mexicanus chromosome 13, whole genome shotgun sequence.
GUGGGAUAUGGGGACAUUUACCCAAAGACGCUAUUAGGCAAGAUUGUUGGUGGCCUCUGCUGUAUUGCAGGGGUGCUGGUGAUUGCCCUUCCCAUUCCUAUCAUUGUAAACAAC